GACACAGCAGGAGACACUUAGGACGGUUUUUCAGACUUCAUGUGCGGAAACUGAAAUGUGAGCCGUUCCUCGGCUGUGUGAAGCCAACGCUGAAUGUUUCUGAGGACUGACGAGACGUCUGAUCGGCUGCAGACUGAACGAGCUGCAGUGUCCCUGUCCCAUGUAACCAGUCCUCUCAUCGUCCCUGUCCCAGUGUAACCAGUCCUCUCAUCCUCCCUGUCCCUGUCCCAGUGUAACCAGUCCUCUCAUCGUCCCUGUCCCAGUGUAACCAGUCCUGUCAUCCUCCCUGUCCCAGUGUAACCAGUCCUCUCAUCGUCCCUGUCCCACUGUAACCAGUCCUCUCAUCGUCCCUAUCCCACUGUAACCAGUCCUCUCAUCGUCCCUGUCCCACUGUAACCAGUCCUCUCAUCGUCCCUAUCCCAGUGUAACCAGUCCUCUCAUCCUCCCUGUCCCACUGUAACCAGUCCUCUCAUCGUCCCUGUCCCAGUAUAACCAGUCCUCUCAUCCUCCCUGUCCCACUGUAACCAGUCCUCUCAUCGUCCCUGUCCCAGUAUAACCAGUCCUCUCAUCCUCCCUGUCCCACUGUAACCAGUCCUCUCAUCGUCCCUGUCCCAGUAUAACCAGUCCUCUCAUCCUCCCUGUCCCAGUGUAACCAGUCCUCUCAUCGUCCCUGUCCCAGUAUAACCAGUCCUCUCAUCCUCCCUGUCCCUGUCCCAGUGUAACCAGUCCUCUCAUCCUCCCUGUCCCUGUCCCAGUGUAACCAGUCCUCUCAUCGUCCCUGUCCCAGUAUAACCAGUCCUCUCAUCCUCCCUGUCCCUGUCCCAGUGUAACCAGUCCUCUCAUCGUCCCUGUCCCAGUGUAACCAGUCCUCUCAGCUCUAUAACACAGUGAAAA